GAUGAACGCUGGCGGCGUGCCUAAUACAUGCAAGUCGAGCGAACAGAUAAGGAGCUUGCUCCUUUGACGUUAGCGGCGGACGGGUGAGUAACACGUGGGUAACCUACCUAUAAGACUGGGAUAACUUCGGGAAACCGGAGCUAAUACCGGAUAACAUUUGGAACCGCAUGGUUCUAAAGUGAAAGAUGGUUUUGCUAUCACUUAUAGAUGGACCCGCGCCGUAUUAGCUAGUUGGUAAGGUAACGGCUUACCAAGGCAACGAUACGUAGCCGACCUGAGAGGGUGAUCGGCCACACUGGAACUGAGACACGGUCCAGACUCCUACGGGAGGCAGCAGUAGGGAAUCUUCCGCAAUGGGCGAAAGCCUGACGGAGCAACGCCGCGUGAGUGAUGAAGGGUUUCGGAUCGUAAAACUCUGUUAUUAGGGAAGAACAAAUGUGUAAGUAACUAUGCACGUCUUGACGGUACCUAAUCAGAAAGCCACGGCUAACUACGUG
rnacentral:rRNA from 1 species